rnacentral:rRNA from 1 species
AGAAUCAACGCUGGCGGCGUGCCUAACACAUGCAAGUCGAGCGCGAAAGGGGAGCAAUCCCCAAGUAGAGCGGCGAACGGGUGAGUAACGCGUGGGUAAUCUACCUCCGAGUGGGGAACAACAGCGGGAAACUGCUGCUAAUACCGCAUGACAUCGUCGAGCCUUCGGGCCUGACGAUCAAAGCCGGGGACCGCAAGGCCUGGCGCUUGGAGACGAGCCCGCGUCCGAUUAGCUAGUUGGCGGGGUAACGGCCCACCAAGGCUCCGAUCGGUAACCGGCCUGAGAGGGCGACGGCCACGACUGGACUGAGACACGGCCCAGACUCCUACGGAGGCAGCAGUGGGAAUUUUCGCAAUGGGGAAACCCUGACGAAGCAACGCCGCGUGGAGGAUGAAGGCCGUUCGGGUCGUAAACGUCCUGUCGACCGGGACGAACGCUAUAGGACCCAAGUACGCUACGAUACGUCGACUGUACCGGUGGAGGAAGCCGACGC